rnacentral:misc_RNA from 1 species
GAUGAAGAACGCAGCGAAAUGCGAUAAGUAGUGUGAAUUGCAGAAUUCAGUGAAUCAUCGAAUCUUUGAACGCACAUUGCGCCCCUUGGUAUUCCAUGGGGCAUGCCUGUUCGAGCGUCAUUUGUACCCUCAAGCUUUGCUUGGUGUUGGGUGUUUGUCCCGCGUUGCGCGUGGACUCGCCUUAAAGCGAUUGGCAGCCGGCAUAUUGGCCAUGGAGCGCAGCACAUUUUGCGCUUCUAGUCAUGAAUGUUGGCGUCCAUUAAGCCUAUACAUUUGCUCUUGACCUCGGAUCAGGUAGGGAUACCCGCUGAACUUAAGCAUAUCAAUAAGCGGAGGA